rnacentral:lncRNA from 1 species
GCCCUGGAUUGAGAGGUAUUCCUUUCAAAAGCAUGGGGGCACAUUGAUCAUUAUCUAAAAGUCACAUUUCUUACUGAAGACAUCAGCGUAUGGUGGCCAUCGAUAUCAAACACCUAGAAACUCAAGAGGAGUGGUAGAACUCAUUCACUUCAGGUGUGUAAGAAAAAUUUGAACAUAGUCACCUCAUGGCCCGAGGAUCUGCAUAGAAAGCUGUUAUUUUUAAGACUAAUGGGCCUUCAUGUUAAAAUUCAUGGCAUGAAUUAUCU